UACAGAGGGUGCGAGCGUUGUCCGGAAUCACUGGGCGUAAAGGGCUCGUAGGUGGCCAACUAAGUCAGACGUGAAAUCCCUCAGCUUAACUGGGGAACUGCGUCUGAUACUGGAUGGCUUGAGUUUGGGAGAGGGAUGCGGAAUUCCAGGUGUAGCGGUGAAAUGCGUAGAUAUCUGGAGGAACACCGGUGGCGAAGGCGGCAUCCUGGACCAACACUGACACUGAGGAGCGAAAGCCAGGGGAGCAAACGGG
rnacentral:rRNA from 1 species